rnacentral:tRNA from 4 species
GGGGCUGUAGCUCAGUUGGGAGAGCGCUUGAAUGGCAUUCAAGAGGUCGGGGGUUCGACUCCCCUCAGCUCCA